CCUUGUCAUUAGUUGCUACAUUUAGUUGGGCACUCUAAUGAGACUGCCGGUGACAAACCGGAGGAAGGUGGGGAUGACGUCAAUUCCUCAUGGCCCUUAUAGGUAGGGCUACACACGUCAUACAAUGGCUGGUACAGAGGGUUGCCAACCCGCGAGGGGGAGCUAAUCCCAUAAAACCAGUCGUAGUCCGGAUCGCAGUCUGCAACUCGACUGCGUGAAGUCGGAAUCGCUAGUAAUCGCGGAUCAAAAUGUCGCGGUGAAUACGUUCCCGGGUCUUGUACACACCGCCCGUCACACCAUGGGAGCGGGUUCUGCCAAAAGUAAUUAGCCUAACCGCAAGGAGGGCGAUUACCACGGCAGGGUUCGUGACUGGGGUGAAGUCGUAACAAGGUA
rnacentral:rRNA from 1 species